rnacentral:rRNA from 1 species
GAUGAACGCUGGCGGCGUGCCUAACACAUGCAAGUCGAGCGAUUUACUUCGGUAAAGAGCGGCGGACGGGUGAGUAACGCGUGGGUAACCUGCCCUGUACACACGGAUAACAUACCGAAAGGUAUGCUAAUACGAGAUAACAUGAGAAAGUCGCAUGGCUUUCUUAUCAAAGUUUUUGCGGUACAGGAUGGACCCGCGUCUGAUUAGCUAGUUGGUAAGGUAACGGCUUACCAAGGCGACGAUCAGUAGCCGACCUGAGAGGGUGAUCGGCCACAUUGGAACUGGGACACGGUCCAAACUCCUACGGGAGGCAGCAGUGGGGAAUAUUGCACAAUGGGCGAAAGCCUGAUGCAGCAACGCCGCGUGAGCGAUGAAGGCCUUCGGGUCGUAAAGCUCUGUCCUCAAGGAAGAUAAUGACGGUACUUGAGGAGGAAGCCCCGGCUAACUACGUGCCAGCAGCCGCGGUAAUACGUAGGGGGCUAGCGUUAUCCGGAAUUACUGGGCGUAAAGGGUGCGUAGGCGGUCUUUCAAGUCAGGAGUGAAAGGCUACGGCUCAACCGUAGUAAGCUCUUGAAACUGUAAGACUUGAGUGCAGGAGAGGAGAGUAGAAUUCCUAGUGUAGCGGUGAAAUGCGUAGAUAUUAGGAGGAAUACCAGUUGCGAAGGCGGCUCUCUGGACUGUAACUGACGCUGAGGCACGAAAGCGUGGGGAGCAAACAGGAUUAGAUACCCUGGUAGUCCACGCCGUAAACGAUGAGUACUAGCUGUCGGAGGUUACCCCCUUCGGUGGCGCAGCUAACGCAUUAAGUACUCCGCCUGGGAAGUACGCUCGCAAGAGUGAAACUCAAAGGAAUUGACAGGGACCCGCACAAGUAGCGGAGCAUGUGGUUUAAUUCGAAGCAACGCGAAGAACCUUACCUAAGCUUGACAUCCUUUUGACCGAUGCCUAAUCGCAUCUUUCCCUUCGGGGACAGAAGUGACAGGUGGUGCAUGGUUGUCGUCAGCUCGUGUCGUGAGAUGUUGGGUUAAGUCCCGCAACGAGCGCAACCCUUGCCUUUAGUUGCCAGCAUUAAGUUGGGCACUCUAGAGGGACUGCCAGGGAUAACCUGGAGGAAGGUGGGGAUGACGUCAAAUCAUCAUGCCCCUUAUGCUUAGGGCUACACACGUGCUACAAUGGGUGGUACAGAGGGCAGCCAAACCGUGAGGUGGAGCUAAUCCCUUAAAGCCAUUCUCAGUUCGGAUUGUAGGCUGAAACUCGCCUACAUGAAGCUGGAGUUACUAGUAAUCGCAGAUCAGAAUGCUGCGGUGAAUGCGUUCCCGGGUCUUGUACACACCGCCCGUCACACCACGGAAGUUGGGGGCGCCCGAAGCCGGAUAGCUAACCUUUUGGAAGCGUCCGUCGAAGGUGAAAUCAAU